UACGUAGGUGACCAGCGUUGUCCGGAUUUACUGGGCGUAAAGAGCGCGCAGGCGGUCGUUCAAGUCGAGUGUGAAAGCCCCCGGCUCAACUGGGGAGGGUCAUUCGAUACUGAUCGACUGGAAGGCAGGAGAGGGAAGCGGAAUUCCUGGUGUAGCGGUGAGAUGCGCAGAUAUCAGGAGGAACACCGAUGGCGAAGGCAGGUCUCUGGGCCACUACUGACGCUGAGAAGCGAAAGCAUGGGGAGCGAACAGG
rnacentral:rRNA from 1 species